CGAGGAGGAGGAGGAAGAAGGAGAGCACCGACAGGAUGACGCCAACAACCAUGAGCAGAACAGUUGCCUUUCACCAGAAAUAGAUUCUGUUCAUCCAUGAGAGGAACUGUUGAGGAGACAGAAAGCUGCAGAGCCAUAAUGAAAUCAGUGGAUAGAACCCAAACAGGACGGCCAUCAAACAGCAGGGACUCUCAGAAACACACGAGCUAACACAGACGAAGAUACACUGAAUAGAGACAGACUCGACACUUUGUCCAAGCCACGGGAAGACCCUUAAAACAGCAGGAACUGCCAGAACGCAUCAUUAACAGAUGACUUCUAAAUAUAUACACACGCAUACAAGCAAGCAAGGGUGGAGACUGGGCUCUGUGUCCAAACCAUGGGGAGAUGGUAAAACAGCAGGCUGCAGUCAAAACACGGUUUGAACUGGUUUCACGCGCACUCCAGGAAACAUCUCUCCAUUUUACAGCCGCGACGGAGGGGAAACCCAAGACCCGUCGGCCCAAAUGAAAACCAUCCUCUUCAAUGCAAAUCAUUACGUGUUUCAGAGGAGUUUAUUUAAUUUAUUCACCGAGGCUGAGCUAAAGCGGAUUUCAUGUCUGUGUGUUUUCGUUGGUCGAGAGGCAAACGUUUGUUCGUCUCUCUUUGAUGGAUAAAUACAAAUUUUUUUCAUAGACACCAGCUUCCAAAAAAGGAAGACGGUUUAUCUUAGCUCACACUAAAAUUAACCAAUUUAUUCACUAUCUGAAAACAUUUGGUGUGCUCUGUUUUAUUUACAAAAAGAAUACACAAUUUAAGAGUCACAUGACAAACAUUUUAGAAAAAAUUCAUAAUGGUCUUUGUGCUUUCAUGAAAUUUGUACAACUUUAGAAAGGUUUACAAUUCAUUGUGUCUAAGAAAAUGGCUCCUUUUGAAACUGAUGCCUGCAAAAUGUUUUAAUAAA